rnacentral:piRNA from 1 species
UAAAAAACUUUUUGUGAAAUU